rnacentral:rRNA from 1 species
GCGGUUAUACAAAAGAUAUAAAUAAAUUUGGUUAAUAAAUAGUUAAUUGAUUUAUUAAUAAAUAAUGUAGCAUUAUAAAUAUAAGGUUAAAUUUAAUUUUGUGAUUAAGUUAUAAAUUAGUGAUGAAGCUAUAAAAUUUUAAAUAUAAACUAGGAUUAGAUACCCUAUUAUUUGAAAUAUAAAUGGUUAAUGUUUAGGUAGUAAUAGUUAUGAGCUUGAAACUUAAAAAAUUUGGCGGUGUUUUAGUCUAUUUAGAGGAAUCUGUUCCAUAAUCGAUAGUCCACGAUAUAUAGUACUAAUUUUAUAUAAUUUGUAUACCAUUGUUAUCAGAAUAUCUUAUAAGAGAGUAAUAUUCAGUUAAUAUAAUUUUAUGAUAUUUCAGAUCAAGGUGCAGUUUAUAAAUUAGAGGAAAUGGAUUACAAUAAAUAAAUUUAUAUGGAUAAAUUAUUGUAAAAUAAUUUUGAAGGUGGAUUUAAUAGUAAAUUUAAUAAAAUUAUUGAGUUGAUUUUUAGCUCUAAAACAUGCACACAUCGCCCGUCGCUCUUUUAAUUAAAAAAAGAUAAGUCGUAACAUAGUAGGUGUACUGGAAAGUGUAUCUAGAAUGAU